UUUUUAUGCUCCUGCUACUUUUAUCUUGACUAAGCUAGAAGCCCUAAUUUCUAAAGAUUUUCUUUGCUUUGGUUAUGUGUGUUUGCCUGCUUUUCUUUACCUUGUUUCUGUGUGUUGGCAUGAUUUCUUCGCUUUGGUUAUGUGUGUUAGCCUGAUUUUCUUUGUCUUGGUUAUGUGUGUUAACAUGAUUUUCUUUACCUUGGUUCUAUGUGCUAGCCUGCUUACCCGAUUCUUGGUAAGGGCUCGUGGUCACCAGGCCUCGAAUAUGAUCUAGUGAAUCUCAGCCUACAUAUACCACCUUUGAAUGAUUGUGUUUGUUGAUCUCUUGUUUCUUUCUGUUUAUGUGGCUGAAUUUGUUUACUACUCUUGUUCAUUCAACUCUUUGUUUACUACUCUUGUUCAUUCAACUCUAUUUAUAUGUUGAAAAUACAGAACCAUGACUUCCUAUGAUUGACUCUGAUUUUCCUUAAUUGCUGGUAAUUGAAAUUUUUCUUUCAAAGCCCUAGAAUUCUACUCGUCUGUUUAAUUUAACUAAUUUCAUUACCUUAUCUGCUAUGAUACCUUGUUUCACUAAGCUUUUCCUUAAUUGGGUUUUUCCUAAAUUUGGUCCUAAUGGACUACUCUAUACCUACUGAAC
rnacentral:lncRNA from 1 species